rnacentral:rRNA from 1 species
GACGAACGCUGGCGGCGUGCUUAACACAUGCAAGUCGAACGAAGUGGCGAACGGGUGCGUAACGCGUAAUCAACCUGCCCUUCAGAGGGGGACAACAGUUGGAAACGACUGCUAAUACCGCAUACUGAAGGCGGGGCUUGUGUCUGAUUAGCUCGUUGGGGGGGUAACGGCCCACCAAGGCGAUGAUCAGUAGCCGGUCUGAGAGGGUGAACGGCCACAUUGGGACUGAGACACGGCCCAGACUCCUACGGGAGGCAGCAGGGGGGAAUCUUCGGCAAAGGACGGAAGUCUGACGGAGCAACGCCGCGUGAGUGAUGACGGCCUUCGGGUUGUAAAGCUCUGUUAAUCGGGACGCGGUACCUGAAUAGAAAGCCACGGCUAACUACGUGCCAGCAGCCGCGGUAAUUC